rnacentral:lncRNA from 1 species
GCAAGUUCGAAGGAGCUCUCUCUCACUGUAAUCCACACUUUUCCCUGCACAGUCGACUAAUGUUUGGCGGACGGACCAAAGGAUAUAUAAAUACAAGUUGACUAGGAGGCAUAUUCAGUACGCAAUACUUUUUCCAUUUAACUAUUACUCUAAAAUUUUGCCUCAUACCCUAUUCAGUCUCUUUGAUUACCCUUUGUUAUUACAAACUGGUUUUUUAUUCUUUGGAUCAAGUUAGAUUGACAGUGUCAAGUAUGUAGAUACUUACAUGAUCAUAAAUAAAUCCAUUUCACGCUUGCAUAUUUCGCUCGUAGACAAAACUUCUGCAUAAUCCCACUACUGGCCUAUAAAAUGAGGAAUUGGUAGAGAAAUAUAAAUCGAUACUUGGAACUAAAAAGUUCAUUUUACCGGUAUUUCUCCUCUAAUUCACAAUUUUGUGUCUUUCAAUAUUUCGUAACAUUUGCUUCUAUGCACAAUUCUGGCUGUUGGUAAGUCAAAUUUUGAAGGGAACAAAGACAAUAUUUGAAAAUGGCAAGAUGUUCUUGGAUUUGCUGCAUACCAUACUGUGUUUUAAAGUUGUUUCAUUG